rnacentral:rRNA from 1 species
CCCUUAGAUGUUCUGGGCCGCACGCGUGCUACACUGAGUGGAUCAGCGGGUCAGGUUGCGCGAAAGUGUUUCCUAAUCUUGAAAUCCGCUCGUGAUGGGGAUUGACGGUUGCAAUUUUCCGUCAUGAACGAGGAAUACCUUGUAAGCGCGGGUCAUCAUCCCGCGCUGAAUACGUCCCUGCCCUUUGUACACACCGCCCGUCGCUCCUACCGAUUGAGUGGUCCGGUGAGGCUUUGGGAUCUGAGCGGAAAGAGCGUUUCGCUCGUUUGGCUCGGAAAACUCAGUCGAACCUUAUCAUUUAGAGGAAGGAGAAGUCGUAACA